ACCGAAAUAGCUCAGUUGGGAGAGCAUUAAACUAUAGAUCGAAAUGUCCCUGGUUCAAUCCCGGAAUUCGGCA
rnacentral:tRNA from 1 species